UACGUAGGGACCAAGCGUUGUUCGGAUUUACUGGGCGUAAAGGGCGCGUAGGCGGCAACUCAAGUCAGCUGUGAAAUCUCCGGGCUUAACUCGGAACGGUCAGCUGAUACUGUUUUGCUAGAGUGCAGAAGGGGCAAUCGGAAUUCUUGGUGUAGCGGUGAAAUGCGUAGAUAUCAAGAGGAACACCUGAGGUGAAGACGGGUUGCUGGGCUGACACUGACGCUGAGGCGCGAAAGCCAGGGGAGCAAACGGG
rnacentral:rRNA from 1 species